rnacentral:rRNA from 1 species
GAUGAACGCUGGCGGUAUGCUUAACACAUGCAAGUCGAACGGACUCUUCGGAGUUAGUGGCGGACGGGUGAGUAACGCGUGAGAAUCUGGCUUUGGGUUCGGGACAACCACUGGAAACGGUGGCUAAUACCGGAUGUGCCGAGAGGUAAAAGAGAAAUUGCCUGAAGAUGAGCUCGCGUCUGAUUAACUAGUUGGUGAGGUAAAGGCUCACCAAGGCAGCGAUCAGUAGCUGGUCUGAGAGGAUGACCAGCCACACUGGGACUGAGACACGGCCCAGACUCCUACGGGAGGCAGCAGUGGGGAAUUUUCCGCAAUGGGCGAAAGCCUGACGGAGCAAUACCGCGUGAGGGAAGAAGGCUCUUGGGUUGUAAACCUCUUUUCUUAGGGAAGAACAAAAUGACGGUACCUAAGGAAUCAGCAUCGGCUAACUCCGUG